GACGAACUCUGGCGGCGUGCUUAACACAUGCAAGUCGAACGGAGUGGCGAACGGGUGAGUAACACGUGGGUGAUCUGCCUUUCACUUCGGGACAAGAUUGGGAAACUGGGUUUAAUACCCGUAAGUGAGAGAUUAGCUCGAGGCCUAUCAGCUUGUUGGUGGGGUAAUGGCUUACCAAGGCGUCAACGGUUAGCCGGCCUGAGAGGGUGAACGGCAACAUUGGGACUGAGAUACGGACCAGACUCCUACGGGAGGCAGCAGUGGGGAACAUUGCACAAUGAGCGGAAGCGUGAUGCGGCGACGCCGGGUGAGCAAUGAAGGCUUUCGGGUUGUAAACGCCUUUCGACAGGGACGCGGUACCUGUAUAAGAAGCACCGGCUAGCUACGUGCCAGCAGCCGCGGUAAUAC
rnacentral:rRNA from 1 species